ACAUGCAAGUCGAGCGGGGAAAGGUAGCUUGCUACCGGACCUAGCGGCGGACGGGUGAGUAAUGCUUAGGAAUCUGCCUAUUAGUGGGGGACAACAUCUCGAAAGGGAUGCUAAUACCGCAUACGUCCUACGGGAGAAAGCAGGGGAUCUUCGGACCUUGCGCUAAUAGAUGAGCCUAAGUCGGAUUAGCUAGUUGGUGGGGUAAAGGCCUACCAAGGCGACGAUCUGUAGCGGGUCUGAGAGGAUGAUCCGCCACACUGGGACUGAGACACGGCCCAGACUCCUACGGGAGGCAGCAGUGGGGAAUAUUGGACAAUGGGCGCAAGCCUGAUCCAGCCAUGCCGCGUGUGUGAAGAAGGCCUUAUGGUUGUAAAGCACUUUAAGCGAGGAGGAGGCUACUUUAGAUAAUACCUAGAGAUAGUGGACGUUACUCGCAGAAUAAGCACCGGCUAACUCUGUGCCAGCAGCCGCGGUAAUACAGAGGGUGCAAGCGUUAAUCGGAUUUACUGGGCGUAAAGCGCGCGUAGGCGGCUAAUUAAGUCAAAUGUGAAAUCCCCGAGCUUAACUUGGGAAUUGCAUUCGAUACUGGUUAGCUAGAGUGUGGGAGAGGAUGGUAGAAUUCCAGGUGUAGCGGUGAAAUGCGUAGAGAUCUGGAGGAAUACCGAUGGCGAAGGCAGCCAUCUGGCCUAACACUGACGCUGAGGUGCGAAAGCAUGGGGAGCAAACAGGAUUAGAUACCCUGGUAGUCCAUGCCGUAAACGAUGUCUACUAGCCG
rnacentral:rRNA from 1 species